rnacentral:rRNA from 1 species
GUGAGUCAUCGAAUCUUUGAACGCACCUUGCGCUCCUUGGUAUUCCGAGGAGCAUGCCUGUUUGAGUGUCAUUAAUAUAUAUAUCAACCCCCCUCUUGUUGAGCGGGUUGGAUGUGGAGGUUUUUGCUGGCCGCUUAAAAAAGGGUUCAGCUCCUCUGAAAUACAUUAGCGGGACAAGCCUGUCCAUUCAUUGGUGUGAUAAAUAUCUACGCUGUUGAAUGUGAGGCAGUUCAGCUUUCCAACAGUCCUUUGGACAACCUAUCAUUUUAUGUGACCUCAAAUCAGGUAGGACUACCCGCUGAACUUAAGCAUAUCAAUAAGCGGAGG